rnacentral:misc_RNA from 1 species
GAUGAAGAACGUAGCGAAAUGCGAUACUUGGUGUGAAUUGCAGAAUCCCGUGAACCAUCGAGUCUUUGAACGCAAGUUGCGCCUCAAGCCAUUAGGUUGAGGGCACGUCUGCCUGGGCGUCACAUAUCGUUGCCUGAUGCCAGUUUCCUCGUGAUGGGUGACUGUGCAGGGCGAAUGAAGGCUUCCCGUGAGCAUUGUUGCCUCAUGGUUGGUUGAAAAUUGAGUCCUUGGUAGGGAGCGCCGUGAUAGAUGGUGGUUGAGUGACGAACGAGACCCAAUCAUGUGAGACCCCUACCGAAUUUGGCCUUCAUGACCCACAUGCGUCUUUGGAACGCUCAUGACGAGACCUCAGGUCAGGCGGGGCUACCCGCUGAGUUUAAGCAUAUCAAUAAGCGGAGGA